rnacentral:misc_RNA from 1 species
UCCGAGUUGUCCCCGGCGGUCCCCUUAGAGUCCCCGGCAUUACCCGCUGGCAACUAAGAGCAGGGGUUGCGCUCGUUGCGGCACUUAAGCCAACACCUCACGGCACGAGCUGACGACAGCCAUGCAGCACCUGCGUUCCGGCUCCCGAAGGCACCCCCGCAUCUCUGCAGGGUUCCGGACAUGUCAAGGGCAGGUAAGGUUCUUCGCGUUGCGUCGAAUUGAACCACAUGCUCCACCGCUUGUGCAGGCCCCCGUCAAUUUCUUUGAGUUUUAAUCUUGCGACCGUACUCCCCAGGCGGAUAACUUAAUGCGUUAGCUGCGCCACCCAAGCUCUAUGAGCCCGAACAGCUAGUUAUCAUCGUUUACGGCGUGGACUAC